CCCGCUCCUGGGCGCCGAGAUUUUUUUGGCCCCAAACCGGCGCUUUUUACCACCAGAAUAUUGGUGGCUGCUCUCCCUAGGUGGAGCUCCCGGGGCCUCGAGUGUCUCGCCAGCGCGCGAAGUUUGCCUAUCGGCCCCACGCGGGCGGUUUCUUUUACAAACCUACGGGAUGAGGUCGUGCCCAUCCAAGCGAGAUCCUGCCUUAAGAAAUAAGGAAAAAGAACGCGCUCUCCACGGGAGGCAGCCGCAAAGGACGUGAUCCCUCAACGCAGGCCCUCGACAAGUGGACAGCUGAGGAAGGACAAACUGGAUCCACACUGGGGGAAGAAUUGAUUGGAAGCCAUCUCAAUGAAAACCCCAGGAAGCAAUCCACUCUGCCUCUCAGAUAUAUCAAAUGUGACCGUGAUCAGUCAAGAAAGUGGAAUAUAAAAUUCUCGAGAUAGUGUUAUUCCAGCAUGGAUAGAAAAUAGGAAUGAACUCACCUAGUGUGCAUGUGGACAAGAAUGGUCUUGGCGUCCAGUGGAGCACGAUACAGCAGUGACAGCAGGAGGCUCUCGUUGCAGCCAAUCCUGGGGAUCACCUCGCCCACAUCUUGUUGAAAGAGUCUCCAUAGAAAAUGAACCAAAGAGGAUUGAUUUCUAUUUCACAUACCAGACAAAAUGAAAAUCAGGUUUUCAUGCUACGUUUCAUAAUACACCAUUAUGUGAGAACCUGUCGUGAAAAGCCUGGGGAAUUGUUAUUGUAAAGGUCACCUAUUGGCGUGACCUCAGAGAAGAAGAUGAUGACAUGUGAUAGUAUGUUUCUUCCCCCAGUUUAUGGGGGUUCACGUUGUGAUUCUGAAACUGUACAUGGAUACAAACUGCCCUUAUACACGGGUGUUCUAGAUCACAAUUCAAAAUAAUGGAAAUCAUCAAGAAGAGAGUCAACUAACUCAUAAGAGAGUUUCUCUGUGGAUGAAAGAUCAUCACUGGCCAUAGGUCAUUUUAUAUUCAUCUACCGUUGAAAUUUCCUAGAAUGUACACAGCUCUCUCUGAGAAUCAGAACCAGUCAACUCUAGCUCGUGAAAACUCACCGGUGCACAUAUAUCCCCGAUCCUUGGCAGAGGAAAAGGAACCAGUCAAAUUAUUUUCAAAGUAAAUCAUUCUGUUGUGGUUAUAGAAAAACUACUUUAAGGGUGAAACUAUGGCCUUCCUGCCAGUCUGGCUCGCUUGGGCAGAGCAGACUCAAUGAGUGAAUUUCAAGGUCACCUCACUGAUGUUAGUGAGGGGGGUUGGGUUUCUAGCCUAAACCCAGGCUCCUUCUUGUUCAUAAAUCCAAACAAACACAUUUUGUCCUUUUUUAUUUUUAAAUUUAGAAAUGUAUUCUGCUUAACUCACAAGCUUUAUAUUGCUUUGAUUAAAAAAGAGAGACAAUAGGACACUCAUUGACAGUCCAGACCCUUCAAGCUUUCCAAUACAAGAGUUCUGAAAGCUGUAUAUACCUAUGGAAGAAAAAAGGCCAAGUGACAAAUGGAGCCAUGACAUUUCAUCAAAGAUUUGAAAUAACUGAAUAUCCUUUCUCUGCCUAGGUCAUUGGCCUUACUAAAAAACAAACCACAAAAAAGAAUAGGACAGUAUAGAAUGAAAUUCCUGUGUUCCAAAUCAACUCACAUUUAUAACCAUCCCCAGGGUCCGGCCAAUGGAACAUUGUCAUUUUCUGUCUCCUCCUGGAGCUCAGAUCCUGAUGAUGGUAGCAGAGAUUCCACAGUCAAUAAGACAGAUGGUGGCAGCAACAUAGAGCGUUCCACUUUUGUGGAAUUGCGGUCUUGGAAUGAUUUCCAGGCAGGCUUGCCAUCCCUAGGAAGCUAGAAGCAUUGUCAAUUAUUUGGGUGCUAAGACUCCAACAAAGUAAUGAGAAAGGAAAAACACCUCUGGGAAUAACCAGAGCCAGGUCCAACAUUAGGGGUUCUCCACCACGAAUAGGAGUAACAUCUCUACAGUGUCAUUAAUGGCGAUCACUCACUUCAGUCAUGUGUGCACUACAGGGCCUCAGGUCACCUCCAGCAUGUGCUCAGUAAAUGCAAUUCCUUUCUCCUUCCCUGAGGAGCCCAACUUCUCCUCAUAACAGGGGAUUAAGUAACAAAAGUUUAACACAUUAGAACGGUUAAGAGGCAACAUGGAUUUUUUACAAAAUGCCAAGUUCCCAGGUGAAUGAGUCACUGUGGCUGAUGCAGCCCCUGAAAUAGGAAUUUUCUUGGCACACAGGUGCCAAGGUGUCACAGAGAAAAGAUCUCAUGAGCUCAGGAAAGGGCCCUUCAGUGUCUCAGAUUAUUCCCCAUGAAGAACUUUGCACACCCCAUUGGUGAUAGUGGCCAGCUGUACCUGCUAUAUCUCUCAGGUGGGUCCUUUAGUGAUACAGAGGGUUACUGCUUUCACUACUCUGAGUCAGUUAAUAAUAACCCAUUUUAGAAACUCAGGGACG